GUACAUGGCUUUGACAGCACAUACACUGAAACCAGAAUGAUAAAGAGCCCCCUGUGCAAGGAAGACACACAAAUUUCUGAAGAGUUCCAUGUGUUU
rnacentral:snRNA from 1 species